rnacentral:tRNA from 1 species
GGUAUGAAGCUCAGUGGUAGAGAACCUGCCUACCAUGCAUGAGGCCCUAGGUUUGACCCCCAGCACCA